rnacentral:lncRNA from 1 species
CACUGAACACACACGAAAGAAGGAAAAGGGAAGGCUUUGCCAUCUAUCUUGGGCCCUUCACAACCACUGGCAAAUUGUAGCAAUCAUCAGCUCCCUCUCUAAUGGUAUUCAAGGCCUGUCACCGCUCCCCCAGCCUCUGAGGCUGGGUGCAAUCUGCCAUUUAGCCACCAAAGAGGAGCGCGUUUCUCAGGCUGUUAAUGGCAAGCUCUCAAGGCAAAGGGAGAGCCGGCUCAUGAAUACCAACAUAACUCUCUCAUAUUGACCUGUCUGCGUUCCCAUAACCUGAGAAGAAAAAAAACCUGCCCUCCAGGCAUCUAUUCACCACGUCACGUUUUCCUUUUGAAAGUUUUUCAAGGUUAAACAGUGGACAUUUUACUCUCUAAACUCUGAAGCUGUGUGUGUGUGUCAGCUUCCAGUUUGACAGAUGCAGCCACAGUAAUAUCACUGGAUCUCCUUGAGAGAAGCUGUCACCACGAGCGAAGCAGUCACAGACACCAGCCUGAACCCUCCAUAAACCUUCAAGUGGCUUUGCUUGGAAAACUCAGAACCACACCAACAUUGUGACUUCUUUUAGGCACCAUCAACUGGAAUUCCUUGAAGCCUUUUGCUUCAUUCUCAAUGUUUCUGAAGCAGAGAUCUACACAGAUACUGGACAAACCGUUUACCUAUUGACAGGCUUGGGAGGGCAGCUAUUUUCUUAACGAGGACAUAGAUAUAUAGCAAUUUUUGAAAGAAGAUGCCUUAAGAAUGCAUCUGUGAUUUCUUUUCAUGUAAUAAUGCAUAUUCUUAGCUAGUAUAAAGCCACAGGGUACCAUCAAGUUUUGUCAUGUAACUGUUACAAUACAAUUUCAUAGAACUGAUUCUUCUUCCAAGAGGCUCCCUAUGAAUGCUGCAUGAAACCUAAAUGAUAAUGAUGUAUCCGAUACAUCUCCAUUUUCACAUUUUCUCUGCCAACUACAGAAUCUCUAAUCACAAUUUUUAAACAUCUGUGCCUAAGUUUAGUGUAACUAAAAAAGCAAUGGUGAUGAUAAUAACCAAAGUCAAAAGUGUAUGGUAUACAAAAUUCUGUUUUACUCAGCCUUAUCCAAUUUAUUCGUCACAAUCCCCAAAUUCUACUGCCUCGUCAGAAUUCAAUGGCUGCUUUUCCGAAGCUCUAAAGAGAAUCGUAGCAUUGAUUAUCUGUUGGCUGCUGGCAUCUGGCUGCUCCACAUUAACUCUAAGAAUUUCCUGCUCAAAGUCAGAUCGUACUUACUUUGGGCUUUAAGUUUUUUUGGUAUUGUUGUUCAUUUGUAAAUUUGACCAACUUUUAUCACGAGUGUGUUCCAGCCUCUGACUGGGUCUCUAAGGUACAAGCCCUGUAACCUCUAGAUAUGACUGCACUUUAACGUGAAUGCCAUAAGCCACUCUCAUCCUGAAGACAAGGCCUAUAGCAGAGAAAUACGGGGGCCAUGCCCCAGGCUCAGUUAAAUGUCAGGAAAACAUAAAUGUGUUCUGCUCCUAUAGCUCAUCAUUCAAACCUCUGUUCAAGCGAGACAUGUUGAUUAGAACUAUUUGUACAAGAGCUUCUUAAAUUCAAAUGAUCUAAAUUAAACAACAACUUCAACCUGCUCAGGUGUUUUGUUUAGUUUCCCUGUAAGUGAAGAGUUUAUUCACAAAGAAUCACAGAAUAACCCGAUGUGGAAGGGUUCAUUGAAACUAACCCCUGGUUUCACACAAGACUGCCCAAAAACAAAC